AUCCUUCCUUAUUUACCUGUGCAAACACACUCCCUGCUUCCUCAGUCCUCGGCCGGGCUCCUGCUUAACCCUUCCAGGGCCCCUGCUUGCCCAGGGGUCAGGGCCUGGCGGCGGGCUGGGGGCUCCCCCACACCCACCCCUUCCUCCACCUGCGGAGCCUGGCUGCCUGGCAAGGCACGAGCAUGUAGCACCUGGGGCUGGCUGGAGGGACGGUGGGCGGGGACCUCAGGUUCCAGGAUGGCUGCGCCCAACAGUGGACCCCAGAGGCCCAGCCCUCCAGGUUCCUUUGCUUCCAGGAGGACUCCCCAACCCAGUGCUCCGAGGCUCUCACACCGAUGGCCCCUCUAAGACGCAUCUGCUGUUUGCUGGCCCUGCUGGACCCCUCGACAUCUCGGGCACUGAUGCAGGGUCUCCUCAUGCAGUUCAGCCUGGCCUUGGCUCAUUUUGCAGCCCAGGCUGGUCUUGAACUUGCAGUGAUCCUCCUGCCUCAGCUCCCGAUUGCUGGGAUGACAGGUCAGGAGCGGUGCAGCCUCGGGGUGCCAGGUCACAGUCUGAGACUCGUCCAUGUGAGCCAGGUGCUCUGAUGGCCUCUGAGGGAUCUCGGACUCCUGUCUCCUUCCCCGGCCUGGAGACUCUCUCACCUGGGCCUCGCUGGGCCCUCUCGUCAUUUUUGCUAAGCACACCAUGGAAGCCAGCGGUCCUCCAAGGUCGAGGUUGCCCUGGCAGCCCCACCUGCACAGGCUCUCGUGCAGCCCCCGGGGAAUCCUGGGGUGCGGGCGAUGUCACAGACAGCACCAGGACAGAUGAACGAAAUGCGUGGUGACAACAGGAAAAGGCUGGGACCCGCUCUGCCUCCAGGAGACACAGUAACGGCAGGAGCUUCGAGCAGACAGAGCUGAAACGGCUCAGCGGGGCCUGGAGGGUGCACGGGACACAGCAGCAGCACCCAGAAAGUGCUCAGCACCCUCGGCCUCAACCCCAACCCCAAAGCCGCUGCCGUGAGAUGGAAAUGGAACCCAGGGCCUGCAUUGCAUCCCGGCUCACUUUUGUUCGGAGACAGGGUCUCACUAGGUCUCAGUUGCGCAGACUGGGCUCACAGUUGCAGUCCUCCUGCCUCAGCCUCCCAGGGUGCCGGGGUUACCGGUGUGCACUGCCACCCCUGGCGUGGCUCCUCUGGAAGGCAUCUCUCCCAAGCAGCCCUUUCCAGUCCUGCCUUCAUGGAUCCCCAGGUGGGGCCCAGCACAGAUUCAGCAUUAUUAAACGGCCCUCCUGGCCUGUGACCCCCACAGACAGACAGGGUUUUGCGGCA